rfam:Streptococcus macacae NCTC 11558 final_molecule, whole genome shotgun sequence.
AUAACCUUUAAUCUGGUCCAGAGAGGCUGUCAAGGAAUAUCGUGUUAAAAGGCAGAAGCUGUAUUCUGCCAGCUUUUUGUGCAACCUUGCCUGCUGGUAAGGUUUUUUUCAU